rnacentral:lncRNA from 1 species
CCUCACUUCUCGGGCCAACCGAUUUCGGAUAUGCUCCUUUCUCCGCACCCCAGUCCUAGGCUGAGCCCGCUCAGCGCUCAAGGAUCGCGGCGGCAGGUCCGGGUCCUCGGCCCGCGCGCUUUGCUCCCAGUCCCGCUCGCUGCAGCCUCCUUUGCUAGUUGCCGGAUUUAAACGCUUCUCUCUCGCUUUCCUGCUUCUCCCCCUUUCUCUCCGCCUCUUAAUCUGAGAAAUAAAUAAAUCCAAGCCUCCUACCUCGUCAGCCCUCCCCACUGGCGCUGCCUCACUUCUCCUCCUUACCGAGGGUACCGCCUUGUUUUCAGAAGGAAAUCUUAAUAGACAUUUAGGCUGUAAAUGAACUUUUCUUUGUGAUGGCUAAUUUUCUUUCCAAUUCUUACGUCCUGCUCCUUUUCCUGGUGGAAUGGAACGGAUUUAGAAGUCUGCAGUAGGGGAGGGGAGUGUGGAAAGACGGAGCCCAGAGUUAGACAGACAGUGGCGAGAGACGCGGAAGAUCCAGAGAUACAGAGAGCAAAAGAGGCGUUGGGCUGGGAAGAGGAGGGAGAGAGGGAGGGAGGGAGGGAGGGAGAAAGAGAGGGAGGGAGGGAGCCCCAGCUGGCGGGAGUGGAGCCAGAGAGAGAGAGAGAGAGAGAGAGAGAGAGAGAGAGAGAGAGAGAGAAGGAGAGAAAAGUUUCCCGGAGUCUUCAUUAGUUGACUUCUCUGUCCGCUGCUUCCCCCAGCCGGUGGAGCUCACCCCCAAUAAAGGAAGGAAGGGGGUCUUUAUUUUUUUCUAAGGCCGCAAAGAGUCCAGUGUUUACAAGCCUAGAAAUGCUACGGCCAUGUCCAGGCAGAAAGAAAGGCUGAAAUGGAGGACCGACGCCUUCCUUAUAAGGUGUCUCUGGGGAAGAGGUCCAGGAAAGAAGGCCAAAUUGGGAUCAAAGGGGGCUUCACUCUGGACCCAGUGCCCACUUGAGGAUGACAAUGAACUUGGUUUUGCUCACUGGGGCCUGAGCCAGCACCAACCUGGUAGAAAAAGCAACCAUGAAGCCAGAGAGGGAAAAGAGCUCCAGACAGAGAUGAAACCACGCGGAGUAAUGCAGGGAAAGGAGGAGGCAGCAGGUCUCGGAACAAAUGUGGCAGAGAGCAAGACAGGCACUCACAGACAGAGGUUUACAUAUUUUUAUUCAAAAAAUUUUUUAAAUUUGGGGCGUGAUGAAGAAAAGGGAAAAUUCAGAAGAGCGGAGAAGAGAGGGAAUUAUCCGAGUCCCAGCGUGAACGCCCCAGAAGGGGAGAAGACUGGAUACCGCGAGCGAGCAGCGGAUGCCGGAGCAGCACCCGGCGAGGGCUCUGGCUCUGACUCGGCCGGCCGCCGCUGCCCCACACGCUGUGGGCUGGCCCUCGAAGACCCCCCUCGCGGCUGCCAGGGCUUCCGCGCUCUCCUUAUCAUCUCCAUCUUUAUGACAAGGCUUGUUAACAAGACCAGCGAGCUGGCCACGCACAUCUAUCUCAGCCGCUCACGCUCAGCCAAGCAGCGGCUGGCGCGGGGACUGGCGAGGCACUAAUUAAUUGAUUCCUUUGGACAGUAAAAUAUGGCAGUGUCUACACGGAACCCAUAAACAAUAUCUCUGCGGGGUGUGAGUGCAUUGUCUUUCAAAGAAUUUUUCCAUAGGCGUGUGUCAGGUAGUCUCGGAUUUUUAGCUACUAAAGAAAGACCCAAGUGGGACUCAUUUUUCCGGGGCCAAAACAGAGUUCGCUCAGGGUCAGAAAAUGCUUUCAGCUAUUAUUGCCUCUCCGAAAGUGUUAGGAGUGGAUUUUGUUGAGAAAAACAUCGGUUCCAGGGUAAACUUGCCCUGCUACGGGUGUAGAUCUGGCCAGCAUUAAGGAUGCUAACCGCUGCUGAAGAGCUAGGUGGGGUACAAUCCUCUUCCUGGUUAGCUGAGAGGGAGUGGGGCUGCUCUGGGGUUUGAGAGGGACGUAGGAGACCAGGUCCAGCCUUUACUUCAUGAGUCUUUCUCCACUGGAGAUUUUAAAAAUAAAUUUAAAAAAAUUUUAAACCAACUUUGGCUUUCAGGAACCCUGAGUGCCCAGCAUACACCUAGAACUUGCCUUUACCCCAACCUGCCUGUUACACAACUUGCCAGGUCACUGCACUUCCCUCUUCCCUCCCCCGCCUUUCUUAACUGGCAGCCUAGAGUAAGUCUCUAAUAUAUUUAUCUUAGGUCUAGAAGAACAAGUCCUGAGACACAGGGGUAACCUGAUUAUAUAAUGCUCAUUCCAUACAGGCUGUGAUUAUGCAGUCAGACCCUGCUGCAAGCAGGACUUGGGAUACUAAAUAUAGACCCUGACUUCGGCAAGAGAUGUACUAGGGAAAUUGAGUUAGGAGACCACUUAUAUAAAUAAUCCAUAUAGACAUAAGAAGGGGUUUUUAAAAGAUGGAAAUAAUAGAAAGAAAAGAGGCUCAGCCGGUGGCGAUUGUUAUUGCCAAUGCCUGAGCUUCCUUCCUGCUACUGUUUGUAAGAUAGCCAAAUAAAUGUGUACUAUAAAUACAAUAAUAUGUGCGCUCAAAGAAUGUACUGCAAUGUAUUUGGUACGCACACACCAUGUAAACAAACUAAUUUAUAGAACGUAUUUUUUCAUACAUUGGGUAGAUACUCAAUUUGUGUAUAUAUAAUAAUAUGUAUUUUCCAUGCACUUUUUAUGUGGACACAUUAAUAUCUGGAUGCAUUUUCCAUGUAUGAUUUUAUAUACCCUAUGGAAUGGAUACAUCUAUGUAGCUAAAUCGAUGAGGACUGUAUAUUCCCUGUGUAGGAUAUAUAUGCAAGUGUACCGUUUAUGUAAAUGAAUCUUUACAAGUGGUGUUUAUCCAUGCUAUGUGUAACCUUUUCCCAGAAGGUUGCUUUCCCAUACAAAUAAAAGUGCCUCUGUAUGUAUGUUUUCUAGAGAAAUAUAUUUUCCAUGCCCAGUAUGUACAUCUAAUAUAGAUAUCUGUGCAUUUUAGACUGUUUCAAU